AAGCAUUUUAACCAACAAGUAAAGGUGAUUGAAAAUUUACUAGGAGCGACAAAGCAAGUACCGCAAGGGAAUGAUGAAAUAGAAAUGAAAUAAUUCUAAGCAAUAAAAAGCAGAGCUUAUCCCUCGUACCUUUUGCAUCAUGGUCUAGCCAGUUUUAACAAGCAAAAUUUAACUACAGUUUGUUCCCCCGAAACUAGGUGAGCUACUUCAAGACAGCUUUAUGAGCCAACCCGUCCCUGUUGCAAAAGGGUGGGAAGAGCUUCAAGUAGAGGCGACAAACCUAUCGAACCUAGAGAUAGCUGGUUAUUCAAGAAAAGAAUUUAAGUUCUGCCUUACGCUUCCUACUACACAAAAUAAUUUAUUAAGCUUAAGAGUUACUCAAAUAAGGUACAGCCUAUUUGACAUGGAUACAGCCAGAAAUACAGGGUAAUGUUUUUAUUAGUAUACUUCAAGUAGGCCUAAAAGCAGCCACCUUUCAAAAAGCGUCACAGCUUAAUUUAUUUAUUUAACAAAUUCCUAUACCUAUACAGACCCCUUUAUUAAGUAUUGAAUAAUUUCAUGUAAUCAUGAAAGAUAUUAUGCUAGAACUAGUAACAAGAAUCCGCACUUCUCCUCAAUGUAAGCAUAAAUCAGCACGGACUUACCACUGAUAAUUAUUUGUAAAGAACCUAAAGUAGCAACCAACCACUAGAAAAAUCUACUAAUUACUCACAUUUAUCUUACACCAGCACACUACAGGCAAAGGUCAAAAUGAGAGGAAGGAACUCGGCAAAUUUUAGUCUCGCCUGUUUACCAAAAACAUCGCCUCUUGAUACAAUUAUAAGAGGUCAAGCCUGCCCGGUGACAAAGUUUAACGGCCGCGGUAUCAUGACCGUGCAAAGGUAGCACAAUCACUUGUCUCUUAAAUAGAGACUAGUAUGAAUGGCAUCACGAAGACUAUACUGUCUCCCUCUCACCACCAGUGAAACUGAUCUUCCCAUGAAAAAGUGGGAAUACCCCUAUAAGACGAGAAGACCCCAUGGAGCUUUAAACUAGUAUUAUCUAUUUAAUCUCAAACCCCAAUAGGCACAACUAAUUAUAAUUACUAGUUUUCGGUUGGGGCAACCACGGAGUAAAAUAAAACCUCCGCGAUGUAUAGACCUUAUAUCUUUAUUUAAGAAUUACACCUCCAAAAAUCAAUAUAUUGACAUAAUUGACCUAUUAAGUUCAACGAACCAAGUUACCCUGGGGAUAACAGCGCAAUCCAUUUCAAGAGUCCUUAUUGACAAUUG
rnacentral:rRNA from 1 species